rnacentral:rRNA from 1 species
GACGAACGCUGGCGGCGUGCUUAACACAUGCAAGUCGAACGGAAAGGCCCCUUUGGGGGUACUCGAGUGGCGAACGGGUGAGUAACACGUGAGUAACCUGCCCUUGACUUCGGGAUAACUUCAGGAAACUGGGGCUAAUACCGUAUAGGAAUCCUUGCUGCAUGGUGGGGGUUGGAAAGCUUCGGCGGUUUUGGAUGGACUUGCGGCUUAUCAGCUUGUUGGUGGGGUAGUGGCUUACCAAGGCUUUGACGGGUAGCCGGCCUGAGAGGGCGACCGGCCACAUUGGGACUGAGAGACGGCCAAGACUCCGACGGGAGGGAGCAGUGGGGAAGAGUGCACAAUGGGCGGAAGCCUGAUGCAGCAACGCCGCGGGCGGGAUGACGGCCUUCGGGUUGGAAUCCGCGUUCAGCAGGGGCGAAGCUUGUGGUGACGGUACCUGCAGAAGAAGCACCGGCUAACUACGUG